AACCUCCGAGACAAUCACCAUGUUUGCCUUGAAAGCAGUUUGCCUCCUCGUCACCGUCGCUCUGCUUGUUGCAAUGGUGGCUGCGGACAAUGACAGCGAUCUCCAUUCAGCCAGACAGAGCUUGAGAGGAUCAGCGCAGAAGAAUGUCAGAAAAUCCUCAAAUAGGGUGGUGAAGCUCGUUGUAGCAAGUCCAAGAAGUCUGCAGGCUGGAAUUGCUGCCCAGGGUUCUUCAGCUAAGUACUGAAUAAAGGGUAUACAUUCUUACAAUAAUGUGCUACUUCAGAUUUGUAUUUUUAAUAACUUUGCCAAAAUAUAUUUUUCACUCUUAGUCAUUCUGGGGUAUUGGGUGUUGCUUGAUGAAUAAAAAAUUAAUCGAGACGAUUUUAGCACAAGGCUGCAACAUAGCAAAAUGUAAAAAAGUGGAGGGGUCUGAAUACUUUCUGAAUCCACUGUAAACGGGAAAUGUAUUGACCUGUUGAUGAUAUUCCAGAAGUCCACAUUUCACUUAAUUUUCAAUAUGUCGGCUUCUCAAGGAAUUUAAUUGUUUUCUUUUGGAAAGGGAAAUUGUUGUUAUUACACAGAAGGCAGGGACAUCACUUCUAUCAGUGAGGUCUUCAAAAUGUGAGCAAACAUGAUAGCUGAUUGAUCAUCUACCAUUUUUAAAAUGCACUGACACCCAUCAUGGAGUAGCUGCUCUCUUAUAGAUGUGAACAUCUCUCAAUCAUCUGAGUGCUAGUCAGGGAUUCUUUAUUUUUAAUUUAUUUCAUUUUCAAUGCUCUGUGAUUACCAUGUGAAGUUAUCAUUGAUAUUGAAAACCUAAGUCCAAUGCUUUAGUCUUCUGAUCAGUCACAUAUUAUUCUCUU